rnacentral:rRNA from 1 species
AGAGUUUGAUCCUGGCUCAAAAUCAACGCUGGCGGCGUGCCUCAGACAUGCAAGUCGAACGCGAAACCUUCCUUCGGGAGGGGAGUAGAGUGGCGCACGGGUGAGUAACACGUAGGUAAUCUACCUUUGGGUGGGGAAUAACAGCCGGAAACGGCUGCUAAUACCGCAUAAUGCAGCGGCUCGACAUCGAGACAGUUGUUAAAGCGGGGGAUCGCAAGACCUCCCGCCUAAAGAGGAGCCUGCGGCAUAUUAGCUAGUUGGUAAGGUAAUGGCUUACCAAGGCGACUAUCUGUAACCGGCCUGAGAGGGCGGUCGGUCACACUGACACUGACAUACGGGUCACACUCCUACGGGAGGCAGCAGUCGGGAAUUUUGGGCAAUGGGCGAAAGCCUGACCCAGCAACGCCGCGUGAAGGAUGAAAUCCCUCGGGAUGUAAACUUCGCAAGAGUGGGAAGAAUAAGUAGGGGACAAUACCCCCUAUGAUGACGGUACCAUUUGUAAGCUCCGGCUAACUCCGUGCCAGCAGCCGCGGUAAUACGGGGGGAGCAAGCGUUGUUCGUGAUUUACUGGGCGUAAAGGGCGCGUAGGCGGUCGUGACAAGUCACUUGUGAAAUCUCCGGGCUUAACUCGGAACGGUCAAGUGAUACUGUCAGACUAGAGUACAGAGGGGGCAACUGUAAUUCUCGGU